UGUUGAUGUGGGAAAAAACAUAGCUCAAAUACAUCUUGUUUUAAAGUUCUUGUUUUGCUCUGUAUCCAAAUGUUAUGUUUGAUUCUCACCUAAAUAGCAGGAUAAAUUAGGACUGCAGACUUAAAAGUAUGUCUUAGCAAACCUGUAGGACUUAAGGUUUAGUCCGGACUAUAUCUUGCUGCAUAAAGCUGUCAUUACAUUUGGAUUUGAGGGGUUUUGCUGGAGCUGCCUCUGGAGUACAACCCUGACAGCGUUAAACCUUUUUUUCUGUGCUUCUGCAAGAAAACAGCAAAGUUAAUUGAGACAAUAGGGCAAAUUGGCAAAUACAGAGCUGAUGAUAUUCCAUUUGGCUUCACUGUUUUUCUUUUGCCUGGACUACACCAGAACA
rnacentral:lncRNA from 1 species